CCUACGGGAGGCAGCAGUGAGGAAUAUUGGUCAAUGGGCGCGAGCCUGAACCAGCCAAGUAGCGUGAAGGAUGACUGCCCUACGGGUUGUAAACUUCUUUUAUAAAGGAAUAAAGUGAGGCACGUGUGCCUUUUUGUAUGUACUUUAUGAAUAAGGAUCGGCUAUCUCCGUGCCAGCAGCCGCGGGAAUACGGAGGCACCGAGCGUUAUCCGGAUUUAUGGGGUUUAAAGGGUGCGUAGGCGGAAUAUCAAGUCAGCGGUAAAAAUUCGGGGCUCAACCCCGUCGUGCCGUUGAAACUGAUGGUCUUGAGUGGGCGAGAAGUAUGCGGAAUGCGUGGUGUAGCGGUGAAAUGCAUAGAUAUCACGCAGAACUCCGAUUGCGAAGGCAGCAUACCGGGGCCCAACUGACGCUGAAGCACGAAAGCGUGGGUAUCGAACAGGAUUAGAUACCCUAGUAGUC
rnacentral:rRNA from 1 species